UCCAAAAUUCAUGUGUUGCAAUCCUAAUC
rnacentral:piRNA from 1 species